CACCAGAGCCACAAGUGGCAAUCAUAAUUAUUGGGCCUAAAGGGUUCGUAGCCGAUACAAUAAAUCUUUUGUGAAAUUGUUAGACUUAAUCUAGCACUGUGCAAAAGAAACUGUUGUGUUUGAGACCAGGAAGAGAUAGAAGUAUUCUAAGGGGAGUGGUAAAAUAUUAUAAUCCUUAGAAGACUACCUAUGGCGAAGGCAUCUGUCUAGAAUGGGUCUGACGGUGAGGAACGAAGGCUAGGGGAGCAAUCCGGAUUAGAUACCCCCGUA
rnacentral:rRNA from 1 species